rnacentral:rRNA from 1 species
GACGAACGCUGGCGGCGUGCCUAAUACAUGCAAGUUGAGCGCUGAAGGUUGGUACUUGUACCAACUGGAUGAGCAGCGAACGGGUGAGUAACGCGUGGGGAAUCUGCCUUUGAGCGGGGGACAACAUUUGGAAACGAAUGCCAAUACCGCAUAAAAACUUUAAACACAAGUUUUAAGUUUGAAAGAUGCAAUUGCAUCACUCAAAGAUGAUCCCGCGUUGUAUUAGCUAGUUGGUGAGGUAAAGGCUCACCAAGGCGAUGAUACAUAGCCGACCUGAGAGGGCGAUCGGCCACAUUGGGACUGAGACACGGCCCAAACUCCUACGGGAGGCAGCAGUAGGGAAUCUUCGGCAAUGGACGAAAGUCUGACCGAGCAACGCCGCGUGAGUGAAGAAGGGUUUCGGAUCGUAAAACUCUGUUGGUAGAGAAGAACGUUGGUGAGAGUGGAAAGCUCAUCAAGUGACGGUAACUACCCAGAAAGGGACGGCUAACUACGUG